AACCUUUAAAAUCUUUAAAUUAUGCUUUAUUGAUAUGUAAUUCUAAAUUACUAAAAUUAAUUAAAUAAAAUAUAUAAUUCUAAACGCUGUUUAGAAUUAUAAUUUAGAAGUUUAUUAAAACUAUGGCAGAAUUUAACCAGCACGAUGAAACAAUUAAUUUUGUAGGUAGGCUAACAGAUAGAGAUCAAAUCUUCUCUCAAAGGAGUCUUGCAACCAAUCUUGCAACAAUUAAAUCUGAAAAUAUUUGUGACACUUCGGCAGGAUUUUCUUUAGCAUCAAUAAUGUGUUAAGAAUAAUGAAAGAUAUGGAAGUCGAAAGAACUAGCUUUCUGGAAAUUCAGACAUCAUAUUGAUGGUUUUUGUGUCUGUAAAUCAUAUUAUAAGUGUGACUUGUGAUCAUAUGUGAUGCCUUCUCGUUGGGGGUGAACAGUUCAAAAUCUAAAGCCAGAAAGCAAAAUGAAAGAUUCACAUAUAAAGCAAUCAGAUUGCUUCAGACUUGUCCUGUGCUAUAUACUUCGGAUUGUAGCGUUCACAUUAAAUGUACCUGAUAAAUAUUGAACAAAUUGCUUCAUUAUCUGCCUAAGAACAAACUAGAGAAAAUAUACCACACAGGCCAUCAUUUGAGGAACUGAAACCAUUAAAGAACAAUGGCAUAUAGUUGGUAUUGAUUUAGUUAUAGGUAUACUUAAAUAAAAAGUUUAUUUUUGCUU
rnacentral:lncRNA from 1 species